AGAACGAACGCUGGCGGCAUGCCUAAUACAUGCAAGUCGAACGAACUCUUCGGAGUUAGUGGCGCACGGGUGCGUAACGCGUGGGAAUCUGCCCCUUGGUUCGGAAUAACAGUUGGAAACGACUGCUAAUACCGGAUGAUGACGAAAGUCCAAAGAUUUAUCGCCAAGGGAUGAGCCCGCGUAGGAUUAGCUAGUUGGUGAGGUAAAGGCUCACCAAGGCAACGAUCCUUAGCUGGUCUGAGAGGAUGAUCAGCCACACUGGGACUGAGACACGGCCCAGACUCCUACGGGAGGCAGCAGUAGGGAAUAUUGGACAAUGGGCGAAAGCCUGAUCCAGCAAUGCCGCGUGAGUGAUGAAGGCCUUAGGUUGUAAAGCUUCUUUACCCGAGAUGAUAAUGACAGUAUCGGAGAAUAAGCCCCGCUAACUCCGUGCCAGCAACGCCGAC
rnacentral:rRNA from 1 species